rnacentral:lncRNA from 1 species
UUGCGCAGGUUUCGUGAAGGGACAGUCUCCUACGAGGAUAUUAGUAGCAGUGUUUUUUAAACUGGAAGAAAGCCAAGAAGAGGUAGGAGAUAAAUGCAGUAAGGAUGCUGUUACUCUUAAUGGAAUUGAAAUCUAACAAGAUGCCUUUUUAGAACAACAAAAAAAACUCCUCCUCACCAGGAUUACUGGACAGCAUGCUCUCUACUGGGGGUCUGAGAAUGGAGAGGACCUAUGUCUUACAACCUGCAUGAAGUCCAGAGAGAGACUGCAAGCAUGACCCAUUGUUAAGUAUCAACAGUGAGGUAGAAAUGGUGGCAUAACAUAAUGGAGCGAGAGGCUACUC